GUUUUAAUAGUUUAAAUAUAAAACAAUGAUCUUGUAAAUCAUAAAUGAGUAUUUCUCUUAAAACU
rnacentral:tRNA from 1 species